AGUCUCGAGAAUCAGUUGGCUCGAAUCGCGACUCCAUCUCCUCGAUGAGGUGUGCCCGCACCGUUAUAAAAUUGCAAAGAAUCAUCAUUACACGUCGUUUUUAACUUUAUAAAUACAAAAUUAUUUCUUUGGUGAUUUCCUCAAUUGGAAAGUGGUGUAUAUAGAUACAAUUUUUUGUGUGAAGAAUAUUUUUUUUUCAACAAAUAAGUGCAAAACACUUUUCUGCAGAAGAGAAUAAUUUCCACAGAGUGCAGUGUUGGCACAAAAAUCCCCCAUACAUCGCAAGGUACCUAACAACAACCACGGGGCAUUCUCUUGCGAGUGAUCUUGGUGGAUGGAUGAUUUUUUUUCCAUCUUCAAGAAAGUGCAGUGUGUGUACAAAUUAAUAUUGCAAUAAAUUGUGAAUUUCCACGUGGAAUUUGUGUGUGCAACUCACCUGAACGAGAUUCCCUUUUAGUUGGUGCAGGCAGCGAGUUCCAAGAAAGCCCCAGCUCACAGUACCCGUGUAUCGGAUGGAGCUGUAGGGAAUUUUUCCAUAUUUUUCUUUGAAUCUUCUUCCAGUUAAAUACAGGCGAAGAUCGGUGGUCCGGGUGUUGCAACGAGAUGGAGUCUUCGCGGCCCAAAGUCACCCAGUCUUCGAUGUCUUCAGCGAGUGCCAAGAGUGGUGGAGCAACAGUGUACAUCCCCUCCCCAUCGUUGCUUCUCCAGCGCACGCAACGCGUCUACUCAAGUGCACUGACCGCAACGACGGCAGCGACAUCGCUACCUGGGGAACAUCACCAGUUGCCGAAGACGAGCCACGUUGUGAAGAUUCAAAUCCCACGGAUUGAGCAUCAAUCGGCCCCGAGAGUCGAUGGUGUUCAGACGUCCACACACACCAAAAGCUCCACGAGAGUAUCAAUUGUGCCAAUUGUCGUAGAUCGUGUGCCCAAUAAGUUAUCAAAGGAUUCCCAGGCACCCUUUCAACAUCACACGGAUCAACCCAAAAUAACGGAUAUGGUGCAGAAGCACGAAAAUCCUGCCACGGAAUUGGAUGUCGUGACAAAUUCCUCAUACCUCUACUACAUCCCCAAUAGUAUGAGGAGUAGCGGGCAGUGUUCACCGGAUACAUUGGAUAGUGGUACGUGCAGCGAUAUGGAGGCCACACCACCUCCCUUGCCUAAGAAAAUGUCCAAGAUGCCCGUACCUGGUGGCAGUGGAUCUGUGUCACCGGUGCACCAGCAACAGGCAUCAAGUACCCCAUCGGGUAGCCCACAGCCACCCGUGAAUGGGCGUCACGUGCGCAACGGGAGUGUCACGGACAGUGAAGAAAGUGAAUCGAGUUUAAGUUGUGAUUCCCUCAAUUGUGGCGAUGUGCUAGUGGAGAAGAGUGAUGGGGGUAAAAUGCUCCUGCCCGAUUCGCUCCUCAAGGAUAUUCGGAAGCGUUCGGCGGAGCAGGAAAGUGAUGUUAAAGUGGAUUUCACGAUAGCUUCAAUGCAACAUCGUGAUGAAAUUGCGGGGGAUAAGGAUCUCGAUCCUAUCUAUGAUCGCUUUUACAAAUUCUACAUUAAUGAAUAUGUGCAGGAUCCUGUCACGGAGGGUGAACCCAAAAUUGUUGAUACAUCCGAUGAGAGCUUUGCUGGCUUCCGUGACAUUCACAGCGGUACUUCGACCAUACGUAGUGCCAAAGGUACCAUACGUGGCGUGAAGAAUCGCGUGAGAAAUGGCAUUGUCACCUUCCAACAGAUGCAGUCCAAUCUACUAAAGAAUUACAAAGAGAAAGAUGCCGGUAAGGUGGUCCUCUAUACAACAAGCAUGGGAAUUGUACGAGAAACAUAUGCCAAAUGUAAUUGCGUUAAGCAAAUUCUACGGACGCUUUUGGUUAAAUUCGAGGAGCGUGAUGUCUUCAUGAGCACAGAAUAUCAGCAGGAGAUUAAAGAUCGAAUGCAAUGUGAUAAUAUUGAUGUACCACAGCUAUUUGUCGACGGUCAACAUAUUGGGAAUGCAGAUACCGUUGAACGGCUAAACGAAGAAGGUGAACUGAGGAAAAUGCUUAAAGCCUAUAAGGUAAAGAAAUGUUCAAGAAACAUGUAGAUAGUAUACCGCAGGUGAUAUGCCUUUAUCUGAUCGUUUUUGUUUCUUUCUAUGUAAAAAUCCGAAAAAUCUCGUUUUUCGGGCUUCUCUCCAUUAAAAUUCUUCCUCUUGCCCAUCAGGGAAGUAAAAUGCAAAUUCCACCUCUUGAUGUGGGCAAUAACUUACACUGCCCGCGAUGCUUAAAAAUGUUUUCUUUAAGUAAAAGUUUUACCAUACGCACAGUUAUGCUGUAGAAAACUAACAGUGAACGAUUGGAUUUUUAUCAAAAAUUCAUUCACAGCGGGUUUUUUCUAUGAAUUACAUUAUUCUGUUUUAUUUUCCUGGGAGCAACAUAACAAAAAUAUUAUAUUUCACAAUUUAAACAAAUUAAAAUUGUAUAAUUUAACACUCUAUUUUUAGAGAUUUCAAUUGAAUUAAUUAGAAGUUGCGUAACGAUGAAUUAACAUUUCCUAAUGGUUUACAGUUUAUCUCAAUUUUUUUUUUAUAAAUUUGUUCUUUGAAUAUUUUUAUUUGAAUUAAUUCCAAAAUAAUUAUUUGGAGCAAUUUUUUCAUGUUUUUAUUUAUUUUUAAUUUAAAACGCACGUGAAGAUCAUAAAAACGUAAUAUUUCAGUAAAUGCGAGAUAAACAAGAAAAUGAUUCAACGGACUAAGCAAUAAAAGAGAUUAUGUUACUCAAUAAUUUAAAGGGUUUUUUGACCAGGUUGGGUAGUCAAUGGAUCCAAUAAUUUUGGAAACUGUUGAUUCUGUCAGAAAUAAUUUCUUUUCAUACAAUUUGUAUUAUUUUUCGAUAUUUUGAAAUCUAGAAUUCAUAAAUUUAUAGCUGAGACACAUUUUGUGCAAUAAAAUAAGGAAUUAGAGACAUUUUCUUCUUGAAAAACUUGAGGAGAUGCUUAUGGACAAUUUAGAAUUUUAUAUCAUGCCAUCUAACAUUAAAUCUCUUUAAUAGAAAGUAAAAAAUAAAUUUAAAAAAAUAUUUUGAUACUCUGCGUUGAUACCACUGCUU